GUUUGAUCCUGGCUCAGAACGAACGCUGGCGGUAGGCCUAACACAUGCAAGUCGAGCGAUCCCUUCGGGGAUAGCGGCGGACGGGUGAGUAACGCGUGGGAACAUACCCAGAGGUACGGAACAACAGUUAGAAAUGACUGCUAAUACCGUAUACGCCCUACGGGGGAAAGAAUUUCGCCUUUGGAUUGGCCCGCGUUGGAUUAGAUAGUUGGUGGGGUAACGGCCUACCAAGUCUACGAUCCAUAGCUGGUUUGAGAGGAUGAUCAGCCACACUGGGACUGAGACACGGCCCAGACUCCUACGGGAGGCAGCAGUGGGGAAUCUUAGACAAUGGGCGCAAGCCUGAUCUAGCCAUACCGCGUGAGUGAUGAAGGCCUUAGGGUCGUAAAGCUCUUUCGCCAGGGAAGAUAAUGACUGUACCUGGUAAAGAAGUCCCGGCUAACUCCGUGCCAGCAGCCGCGGUAAUAAGGGCGAAU
rnacentral:rRNA from 1 species